rnacentral:rRNA from 1 species
UGAGGAAUAUUGGUCAAUGGGCGCAAGCCUGAACCAGCCAUGCCGCGUGCAGGAUGACGGUCCUAUGGAUUGUAAACUGCUUUUGUACGGGAAGAAACCCUCCUACGUGUAGGAGCUUGACGGUACCGUAAGAAUAAGGAUCGGCUAACUCCGUGCCAGCAGCCGCGGUAAUACGGAGGAUCCAAGCGUUAUCCGGAAUCAUUGGGUUUAAAGGGUCUGUAGGCGGUCUUGUAAGUCAGUGGUGAAAGCCCAUCGCUCAACGGUGGAACGGCCAUUGAUACUGCUGGACUUGAAUUAUUGGGAAGCAACUAGAAUAUGUAGUGUAGCGGUGAAAUGCUUAGAGAUUACAUGGAAUACCAAUUGCGAAGGCAGGUUGCUACCAAUGGAUUGACGCUGAUGGACGAAAGCGUGGGUAGCGAACA